rnacentral:rRNA from 1 species
AUUGAACGCUGGCGGCAGGCCUAACACAUGCAAGUCGAGCGAGCGGCGGACGGGUGAGUAAUGUAUGGGGACUGCCCGAUAGAGGGGGAUAACUACUGGAAACGGUGGCUAAUACCGCAUACUAUCGGAUAACCCAUAUUGGAUUAGCUAGUAGGUGGGGUAACGGCUCACCUAGGCGACGAUCUCUAGCUGGUCUGAGAGGAUGAUCAGCCCAACCUGGACGGGGAAACGGCCCAGACCCCUACGGAGGGAGGAGGGGGGAAUAUUGCAAAAUGGGGGCAAGCCUGAUGCAGCCAUGGCGCGUGUAUGAAGAAGGCCUUAGGGUUGGAAAGGACUUUCAGCGGGGAGGCGUUACCCGCAGAAGAAGCACCGGCUAACUCCGUGCCAGCAGCCGCGGUAAUUC